UUGUGUCAUAUUUGUCAUCCAACUUACUCUGUAUCGUAACUCCUGAACGGUUGGCCGCAUUUAAAAAAAUCCUAAAGUAUUAUUGCAUAAAAUAAACUUUUCAACGGCGUAUCACAUGUGCAUGUUGCAGCAGAUAUUAGAGUAAAUAUUUUCGAUACGGAAUUUCCCUGCGGAGCUUCGUGUUGUGUCAACGGGGUGAGAGAGAAAACCGCAGAGGACGAGUUGAAAUGGCGCAUAAAAUGAUGGAAAUGUCUAAAAAACCACCAGACUGAUGAAAGGUCCCACAAGGCUGAUAUUUGAGCGCAGUGAACAUGAGAGACGUAUAACCAGCGAACCAGGUUAUGUAAAAUAUUUGUACAAGCUAAUGUCAGUCAUAUGAAUGCUGCACAGCUAUUGGCUAGCUGUGUGAAGCUAACGGGGGCCGAGGGGGGUCACAGUGAGAGAACUAUGUCAAAGUUCGCUAAAAUGUUAUGAGCUUUAAAAAUCCUUGAAGCUCAUACACAUUUAAUGUCAGAAACAGAAUGAAAUGAAAAUUGUUGCAUUUAAAAUAUAUUAAAUAUUAAGUACAUUACUUGGAUGAACUUUGUUGAACCAGUGACGCACUUCCGGUUUACAUUGCAAAAACUUUGCUGAAGGAACUACCGGUAGCAUAUUAGCCAUGGAUUUUUUACAUUAUUAUAUUUACCCGUUCGCUGCAUAAUCAGCAGAAAAAUAAACUUUCAGAAAUCUGAGGCUAUCCGUGGAGUGAUGACACAUCCCAGCAAACUGGCAGGAAAAAACGAUGGCGUUGUUGUUAUGGCAACGUGAUGUUGAUCCAAAAAGUCACCAUGAUUAAUUGUGCAUCAUUUGGAUUGGGGAUGGUGGUGUGGGGUUGGCUGCUGUUUUCCCCCUUUCUCCACCAGAGGGUGCCGAGAGGUUGAUUUCUGGAGGGCGUGACCAGUGGCUGCAGGUUUACCUGCACACUUGCAAGUCAUCUGAUCAUCUGGAGGAGUAUAAGAGGAAGGAGCGGCCAACACUUCUUUGCCAGAGUGUCAGCCAGUAAUGGUGAACCCUCGUGACGUCGUGGAUGUUACCCACAGAUGUCCGAGUUCCAUUGACGCCCUCGCCGUUUACCAAACCUUCCAGGAUCUCUCAAGUUGGCUGUCUCCGUCGCUCUUCUCAUCUGGAAACUCAAGAACUUACCUCUCCGUUCUCCACCACUGUCCUUCCAUCGGUCUAGCAGCAAGCCCUCCACCUUGAUCUCCACCCUGGUAACCAUAGUAACCUCCUCCUGGCUCAGUUCUCCACAAACCCAAUGAUCCAGAAUCUUGUUGCCGCCUCCCCUUGAACCCACAGYUCUAAUUGUUUUGUUGUUCUUUUCAAUAAACCAUUUAACUGAUUUGUUCUCCGCCUGGUGUUUCUGCAUGUGGGUUAGAAAGUUAGAACCCAUCAUGAUAAUUUUAGCUUGAUUUAUCCUACCUUGUUGGUACCUGCCCUAGCUUCCCUGAGCUUAACUUGUUUUAUCUUAUAGGGCCUUGUCUUUUGUAGUUUACCUUAAAUUAAUGAUUGUAUUCKGACUCAUGUCCUACCUAUGUUGGUGUUUCUCUCCUCAACUUGCCCUGAUUUAUUUCUACAUCUCAUAUCAGUGUAUUUUUUUUGCUCACCUUAGCUUAGAGUUUGCUGCUAUCUUUGGUCUUUCAGUGUCUCGGUGUCAGGAUCUUUGGUCGUUCUGGGUUUUCUGAUCUGAUUUGUUCUCRGCCUUGUUUCUGUUUAGUUCAGUGCCUUUCUAGUUCUUUGUGUUUAGUUCAUUGUUGCUGUUGGUUGCCUUACCAGUGUACUGUCCCUCGCCCCUCUCUCUUCCCUCACACCUGCAGCCCGUUAGCCAAUCAUCAGUUUUUCCUUCUGUGACGCCCGUCAUGAUUGUCUUUGUACUAGCUUCCCAUUUGUUCCUGCAUGUUGGUCCACCAUAAGCUCAACAAAACUUGAUKCUYGUCUUAUUUUAAGCUAGCCAGGUUUAUUUUAGUUUUUUAUCUUAGUUAUUCUCAUCUUUGGUUUCUUGAUUUCUGUUACCAUAGAGUUGCUCUUCAAAUCGUAGCUUAGUACAGCUCCUCUGACCAAGCUAUACUUUUCAAACAAGCUUAUUCUGUUUGUGUGAUUUUGUCAUUGAUUUUACUCACUUUUAAUAGUUUUAACAUUGGGCUUUGACUGUUAUCCUCUGCGAUUACAUGUGUAGCUCUUUGAGAUUUUUAACAAAGUGCAUAAGGAAUUAAAUGUAUUAUUGUAUCCACCCUGACUUGGGUUAUUUUGGUUUGCGUUAUCUUACCUCACCUGAACUUUCUAUGUUGCAUUUUUUAAUCGACCAUAAAUUUUGCUGUCUUCCUGUA